GUAAACAAAGCUGGCUGUCCAAUGAGGCGGCGGCGGAGGCGGGCGCGUCACGUGGCGUGGAGGCGGGGUCCGGAGCGGAGGGGUGGGGUGGGUGUUGCAAGCUGUGUUUACAGCUCCGCACAUGCCGCUUCCGGUUGAUUUGCGGGUGGGAGAGUGGCGGGCCGGAAGCGGAAGAGUCAGACGGAGGCUGGGGGCGAGAGCUGGCAUUGUUCCCCCGGCGGAGUGACGCUGGCUGAGUUCUUUGCUCUCCCUGCCCUGGGGCGCUCCUUUGACCUGGCCCGCUGCUGCAGUACCAUCACCUGGGGUGGGGGCGUUACGUCAGAAACCCAUGAACAAACGCAGCAUUCAUAACACCGACACUGUCCUAAGGAAUCUGCUCUGCCUUGGGCCUCAGUUUCCCUAUGUGUAAAAUGAGGAGAAGUCUGUCCUCUGUGGGUGCUGCAAAAUUACGGAUCCAUUGUAAAUGUCUUGACAGAGAUGAUCUGGGUUUUGUCCAAGGCCCAAACAAACUCUGCAUUCCUCUAUGAGCUUGGGGGCCACCCACUUUCCAGGCACCGGAGCUUCCGAAAGUGUCCGAGUGUGGACAGAAAAUGAAGGGACUGAGGUAUUCGGGGUCAACAUCCAGCCUGGCAGCAGAGGUUAGUGUCGUCUGAG
rnacentral:lncRNA from 1 species